UACGAAGGGGGCUAGCGUUGCUCGGAAUCACUGGGCGUAAAGCGCACGUAGGCGGACAUUUAAGUCAGGGGUGAAAUCCCAGAGCUCAACUCUGGAACUGCCUUUGAUACUGUGUGUCUAGAGUAUGGAAGAGGUGAGUGGAAUUCCGAGUGUAGAGGUGAAAUUCGUAGAUAUUCGGAGGAACACCAGUGGCGAAGGCGGCUCACUGGUCCAUUACUGACGCUGAGGUGCGAAAGCGUGGGGAGCAAACAGG
rnacentral:rRNA from 1 species